CGCUUGAAAAUGACGUCAGCACGCCCUCCUAUAAAUACAGCCCUGCGCCUGCGUCACAUCCUCUUUCCGCUGCUCUUCUCGCUUCGAGACUCAUCUCCACACGAUGAGAGCUAAGUGGAGGAAGAAGCGCAUGCGCAGGCUGAAGCGUAAAAGGAGAAAGAUGAGGCAGAGGUCAAAGUAAGCCCUCGUUGUGCCAGGCGUUGCCCCGCCCGGUCGGACUUGAUUGACGGCUGUGACUGGAGCGGUUCUUGACCACCUCCUGCGGCUUCCCGAUGGCCGCAAGCUUCAUCUGCCCCAGUUCCUGACCUGGGACUCUUCUGCUCCAGUUCCUGACCUGGGACUUUUAACAUCAGAGCUGUGGCUGUUUGGUUCAUGGACCAUAAAUUCUGUCAACUGUCAUGUGGUGUUGAACAAUAAAUGAACACUGUUCCAAAACUUUAA